CCCCACUGCUAUCGGGGUGGGACUAAAACAUGCAAGUCGAGCGCCUCCAAGCUAUGGUGAAGGCGCGGCAAACGGCUCAGUAACACGUGGCCAACCUACCCUUGGGACGGAGACAACCCCGGGAAACUGGGGCUAAUCCCCGAUAAGUAAGGAAUCCUGGAAUGGAUCUUUGCUGAAAGGGCGUCUAGACCAUGCUUCUUGACGUCGCCCAAGGAUGGAGCCGCGGCCGAUCAGGUAGUUGGCGAGGCAACGGCUCACCAAGCCUAUAACCGGUACGGGCCGUGAGAGCGGUAGCCCGGAGAUGGGUACUGAGACAAGGACCCAGGCCCUACGGGGCGCAGCAGUUGCGAAAACUCCGCAAUGCGCGAAAGCGUGACGGGGCUACCCCGAGUGCCGCCCGUUGAGGGCGGCUUUUCCAUGGUGUAAGGAGCCGUGGGAAUAAGGAGAGGGCAAGACUGGUGUCAGCCGCCGCGGUAAUACCAGCUCUCCGAGUGGUGGGGACGAUUAUUGGGCUUAAAGCGUUCGUAGCCGGCUUAACAAGUCUUCCGUUAAAUCCAACGACCUAAUCGUUGGGCUGCGGGAGAUACUGUUGGGCUAGGAGGCGGGAGAAGCCGACGGUAUUCUCGGGGUAGGGGUGAAAUCCUGUAAUCCCGGGAGGACCACCAGUGGCGAAGGCGGUCGGCUAGAACGCGCUCGACGGUGAGGGACGAAAGCUGGGGGAGCGAACCGGAUUAGAAACCCGGGUAGUCCCAGCUGUAAACGAUGCGGGCUAGGUGUUGGGGUGGCCAUGAGCCACUUCAGUGCCGCAUGGAAGCAAUUAAGCCCGCCGCCUGGGGAGUACGGCCGCAAGGCUGAAACUUAAAGGAAUUGGCGGGGGAGCACCACAAGGCGUGAAGCUUGCGGUUU
rnacentral:rRNA from 1 species